rnacentral:rRNA from 1 species
AACGAACGCUGGCGGCAUGCCUAACACAUGCAAGUCGAACGAGACCUUCGGGUCUAGUGGCGCACGGGUGCGUAACGCGUGGGAACCUGCCCUUAGGUUCGGAAUAACUCCCCGAAAGGGGUGCUAAUACCGGAUAAUGUCUUCGGACCAAAGAUUUAUCGCCUUUGGAUGGGCCCGCGUUGGAUUAGCUAGUUGGUAGGGUAAAAGCCUACCAAGGCGACGAUCCAUAGCUGGUCUGAGAGGAUGAUCAGCCACACUGGGACUGAGACACGGCCCAGACUCCUACGGGAGGCAGCAGUGGGGAAUAUUGGACAAUGGGCUAAAGCCUGAUCCAGCAAUGCCGCGUGAGUGAUGAAGGCCUUAGGGUUGUAAAGCUCUUUUACCCGGGAUGAUAAUGACAGUGCCGGGAGAAUAAGCUCCGGCUAACUCCGUG